rnacentral:rRNA from 2 species
CCUACGGGGGGCUGCAGUGGGGAAUAUUGCACAAUGGAGGGAACUCUGAUGCAGCGACGCCGCGUGAGUGAUGAAGGCCUUCGGGUCGUAAAACUCUGUCCUAAGGGACGAUAAUGACGGUACCUUAGGAGGAAGCCCCGGCUAACUACGUGCCAGCAGCCGCGGUAAUACGUAGGGGGCAAGCGUUGUCCGGAAUUAUUGGGCGUAAAGGGUGCGUAGGCGGCCUUUUAAGUCAGAUGUGAAAGGUCACGGCUCAACCGUGGUAAGCAUUUGAAACUGGAAGGCUUGAGUUAAGGAGAGGAAAGUGGAAUUCCUAGUGUAGCGGUGAAAUGCGUAGAUAUUAGGAGGAAUACCAGUGGCGAAGGCGACUUUCUGGCCUUUAACUGACGCUGAGGCACGAAAGCGUGGGGAGCAAACAGGAUUAGAUACCCCGGUAGUC